rnacentral:rRNA from 1 species
CUCUGUGACUCCUACGGGAGGCAGCAGUGGGGAAUAUUGCACAAUGGGGGAAACCCUGAUGCAGCCAUGCCGCGUGUGUGAAGAAGGCCUUCGGGUUGUAAAGCACUUUCAGUAGGGAGGAAGGUAGUGUAGUUAACACCUGCACUAUUUGACGUUACCUACAGAAGAAGCACCGGCUAACUCCGUGCCAGCAGCCGCGGUAAUACGGAGGGUGCGAGCGUUAAUCGGAAUUACUGGGCGUAAAGCGCAUGCAGGCGGCCUGUUAAGUCAGAUGUGAAAGCCCGGGGCUUAACCUCGGAAUUGCAUUUGAAACUGGCAGGCUAGAGUCUUGUAGAGGGGGUAGAAUUUCAGGUGUAGCGGUGAAAUGCGUAGAGAUCUGAAGGAAUACCAGUGGCGAAGGCGGCCCCCUGGACAAAGACUGACGCUCAGAUGCGAAAGCGUGGGGAGCAAACAGGAUUAGAUACCCUGGGAG